GACGAACGCUGGCGGCGUGCUUAACACAUGCAAGUCGAACGGAAAGGCCCUGCUUUUGUGGGGUGCUCGAGUGGCGAACGGGUGAGUAACACGUGAGUAACCUGCCCUUGACUUUGGGAUAACUUCAGGAAACUGGGGCUAAUACCGGAUAGGAGCUCCUGCUGCAUGGUGGGGGUUGGAAAGGUUCGGCGGUUGGGGAUGGACUCGCGGCUUAUCAGCUUGUUGGUGGGGUAGUGGCUUAUCAAGGCUUUGACGGGUAGCCGGCCUGAGAGGGUGACCGGCCACAUUGGGACUGAGAUACGGCCCAGACUCCUACGGGAGGCAGCAGUGGGGAAUAUUGCACAAUGGGCGGAAGCCUGAUGCAGCAACGCCGCGUGCGGGAUGACGGCCUUCGGGUUGUAAACCGCUUUCGCCUGUGACGAAGCGUGAGUGACGGUAAUGGGUAAAGAAGCACCAGCUAACUACGUG
rnacentral:rRNA from 1 species